AAGCACUACAUAGCAGCUCAUCUGUAACGGGGGCCAUGGGGUGUCACUGGGCGCAACUGGGACUGCAUGGACAGCUGAACUCCAUGAUUUUGACUAGAGGUGACAGCUGAAAAGCACCAGAAACCCUUGGAAUUUCAGAUCUAUAUAUUACUAUAAAGGAAGAAAAUAAAGUUCCGCUAGUAGAAGACCUUGGAAGGGUGUGUGUCCUGAACAAUUUCCAUUGUGGAGAAACGCAACAAAUAACAAAGUGCAGUCAAAGCUAGCCCUGCUCCGUGAUGAAUUUCAAGGAGCGUGACCAAUAAUCUUCUACUUAUCUUAAAAACCCUAUGGAAGUACUAGACCAGUUCCAACAGAAGUGAGAGCAAACUGUGGGAAAAAAAAAAACCCUCACAAAAAAGCCAUCUGUCUGAGAACAACCCGAGAAUCCUAAGUCCACCCAAGUAGUCACUGCGUGUUUUUCUGCACUGCUAAUGGAUUGCAUAUUGUUGAAAAUAUGAAUUACAGAAUAAAUCAGGAGAGAGU
rnacentral:lncRNA from 7 species